GACGAACCGUGCGAACGUUGUUCGGAAUCACUGGGCUUAAAGGGCGCGUAGGCGGCUUGCCAAGUCCGGGGUGAAAUCCUCCAGCUUAACUGGAGAAGUGCCUUGGAUACUGGCGAGCUCGAGUGAGGUAGGGGCCGUUGGAACUUCCGGUGGUGCGGUGAAAUGCGUUGAUAUCGGAAGGAACGCCGGUGGCGAAAGCGAACGGCUGGACCUCUUCUGACGCUGAGGCGCGAAAGCUAGGGGAGCGAACGGG
rnacentral:rRNA from 1 species